CAUCCACCCCGGCCCGAUCCACUCCCACCCCACCACUCUCUCGUCCUCGGUCCACCCCAUCCCGGGCGUCUCGCUCACCGGAGGAGUCUCGCUCGGCCUCCCCUCUCCCUGACCUAGCCGCCACCUCUCGCCCUCCCGUGAACUCCAUGGCGGCUGCCGCCUGAUCUGCAUCCUCGCCGGCCCUGCUGCCUCGCCGCCGCCCCUGCUGACCCCAUCUACCUCGCCGCCGCCCUGGUCUUCAAAUCGCGGCUGCCCCACUUCAACCUGCCCGCCGCCAGGUCCAGCAUACCGUCGCCGCCGGCCGGGAGAGGGCAACAUCGACGCUGGACCAGAUGGACGAGCUGCAGUGCCAAACUGGGAGAGGAAUAGACGCUCCAGCAGAGUGAUUAUGCGUGUGUAUGUGGAGAAGAUAACUGGGUCGAUUGAUUUGAUGUUAAUUUGUUUGCUUCACUCUGUUUAUUUAUGGCUACGAUGACGGUAGCGACACACGAGAUGAGGCGCAGGUGGGCGCCGAGGGGGAGAGCCAGCAGCCGGCGCUGGAGUACGAGGAGAGGAUCCACAAGUUCCCCGGCGCGGUAAAAUUACCGACCUAACUCUGAAUCCUAGUUAAUUUCGCUACUGUCCUAAUCACUCUGCAAACAAGCAGAUCGGCCAGAAACCUUAUGUUUGCUGUCCAGUGUCAAUGGUGGAGCUCGAAACCCUGGAACCACGCUGAACCUCAUGAAUAGACUUGAAUAUUUGUUUUAGGUAGAUGCUUGACCAUUAUGCUUUGGAAGAGUGCACGUGAGCCUACCAUUUGAAACUGUAGUUGACCAAUCUAAUUUGGCAUGACCAGUUGUAGCUUUGAGUUUGAUAAAAGGGUUAACAAUAUCAAGGGAUUUUGUUUGACCUUUGCAUUUUCCGCAGGUUGCAAUUCAUGUAGCACAAAGUAGUAUAUUUAUUGGUCCAUAUGUUUGUAGAUCAUAAUGGAUCUGAAUGUCUGAAUGUCACAUUAUAUCACUAUAAAUGUCGUUUUGAACUUUGAUAUGGUCUUCCAGUGUACAGUUUGACAUCAUUUUUCUUGAAAAUAUGCUUCGUCGAAUAAAAUAGGCACAUAUAAGCAGAGUACAUUUCAUUAGGCUUGUUUUAUCAGUUUGGUGUUAUAGAUGGUUGACGGGGAGAGACGACACUGCCGGUUUGCUGAAGUGGUAGGUUGCCAUUCAGGUCAGUCGCCAAUACUCUUCUUCCUUGGGCUCCAGAAUUUACUUGCAUUAGGGAGUUAGCCGAGCCACAUUUAACCUGGUGAAGACAAGAUUACGACUUUAGUCAUUGAUAGUCAACAUAAGAACACAACUAAAAUAUGCGCAGAAGUUAGUUAGGCUGUAGCCAGAAGCUGUAGAGACUGUUUGGGUGUGAUUCCUGUCGGUGGACUGAUGAAAUUUUUGGUAGAGCAAUUCAGGCAUGUAGUUGGAUGGAUGAAUAUACCUUGCAUACAUCUCUAGGAUUUACAGAAUGAAGCUAACAAUUCCUUGAGCCUACUAGUUAUAUAUGUUAGGAGUAUCCUCGGCCAGGUUAAUUACUAAUGAUCUGAAUUGCUCGAAUAGAUGCAAACUUGUGGCCACACAAGUUAACUUUUUACAUUUUACCUAAUGAUUUUUAUACUAGCUAGCGUUUCUCAUAUCACAAAAGCUGUUGCUGCACUUGGGAUAGAAUACAGGAUUUUCUGAAAAUGAAAGCGAGUUCACCAUGACUACGACAGAUACUAGGUAGUUUAACUUGGGAUAGAAUACAAUGCACGGGUUACAACAGAAGUUAUUUCUUGUCUCAGAAUUACUGAUUGCUCUUUGUUCUCAUUUUCCUUGUUAGCUGAAACUAUUCCUUGUCUACAGAUAAGAGGAAGCCAUGUUCGGAGCCACCGACAGUGUCUUCCUUGGAUUCGUUCGUGUAAUAAGGAGGGUACCCGGCCUUCUUCACGUGUCGAGCAACAAGUAAGGACCAGCCUUGUUUAGGUUGGUGGUGGAAUGCUAGAGAAGUGGUCUGUUUAGGUUGGUGGUGGAAUGCUAGGGAAGGUACCCACCUUUAGAUGAUGGUUGUGUUCGUCUGAUGUUAAAUGGGAUGUCGUGAUUUCUUUCAGUUGAGAUGUUGUUCCUUGACACGAGUCUGAUGUUAAUGGGAUGUUGUGAUUUCUUUCA